rnacentral:rRNA from 1 species
AGUGGCGGACGGGUGAGUAACGCGUGGUAAUCUGCCCUCAGGAGGGGGAUAACGGCUGGAAACGGCCGCUAAUACCCCAUAUGCCGAGAGGUGAAACGAAUUUCGCCUGAGGAUGAGCCCGCGUCUGAUUAGCUAGUUGGUGGGGUAAGAGCCUACCAAGGCGACGAUCAGUAGCUGGUCUGAGAGGAUGAUCAGCCGCUCUGGGACUGAGACACGGUCCACACUCCUACGGGAGGCAGCAGUGGGGAAUUUUCCGCACUGGGCGAAAGCCUGACGGAGCAACGCCGCGUGAGGGACGAAGGCCUCUGGGCUGUAAACCUCUUUUCUCACGGAAGAAGAUCUGACGGUACUUGAGGAAUAAUCCACGACUAAUUCCGUGCCUCCAGCCGCGGUAAUACGGGAGUGGCAAGCGUUAUCCGGAAUUAUUGGGCGUAAAGCGUCCGCAAGCGGCUUUGUAAGUCUGCUGUCAAAUCGUGGAGCUUAACUCCAUUUCUGCAGUGGAAACUACGAGGCUUGAGUGAGGUAGGGGCAGAGGGAAUUCCCGGUGUAUCGGUGAAAUGCGUAGAUAUCGGGAAGAACACCAGUGGCGAAGGCGCUCUGCUGGGGCAUAACUGACGCUCAUGGACGAAAGCCAGGGGACCGAAAGGGAUUAGAUACCCCUGUAUUCCUGGCCGUAAACGAUGAACACUAAG